UCUUCUUCUCUCUUUCUUCUUCUUCUCUCAUUCUCUCCUGUUCUUGCCGCUGAUGAGAAUUUUGUGAAACAAAUUCGAGUCUUUUGAGUUCGUUAUAAGAGGGGAAAUAUCAAGGAUUGAUAGAGAAUAUUGGUGUUGAUUCAAUUCUCGAAUUCAGAGUUCUCAGAAAAGUUAGUCGUUAUUAACGACGAUCGAUUCAAAGGAUGAUCCAGUGGAUUGAACAUCUCAAGGUAGGCGAGGCUUGUCAUCAAAAGAGUUUCAGAAACAGAUCAAGAUGCAUACGUCGCGAUGAAAGCUUCGAGG